UUCUUACCGGACCCAACUAACAAUCGCAAGCCGCAAACCAGCAUGCAUGCUGAAUUGUUGCUUUAUAAUAGUAAUGAUAGCUGAACUAAAAUUAUGCUGUACACAUUACUGUACAAAUGUUUUUUCAAUUGAAAAAGUAGCCAAUGUUCAACCUUUCGUAUCGGUAUCAACAAUUAUAAAUUUUAACACUUUUCAAGCGUUUAAUAAUAUUUUUAUUCGACUUGCAGUUAUUUCCCCGCAUAGACAAAUACAGUUUGCCAUACGGUCUGAACAGUAAACGUGUUCUAAAUAGUAUGGUUAAUGUGUCACAUAUUGUUGUUCUUAUGUUCAACAAUAUUAAACUGAAAGCUAUGUACCGUAAAUAACAGUAUGGAUAGCCCAUACCAAGCGUUACCAAUAUGUUACAUUGUGCAUACAUUGUGAAACAGUAUAUAAAUGGGAACUUGAAUUGAAUAAUUGCAAUAUGAAAUCACAAUAUAGCAUACGGUUGAUUAUUACGCUUGCACAGCGCACUCACACCUGUUCAUUUCACCAUACAUUACUGCUGUUCAACAUUAUGACAAAAAGUUACACGUGUUUGUAAUUGUGAUCGACUUGUAUCGUGGUGUUUCUUAUUUUCUCGCGGAAUAUUUUAUAAAAGCCUGUUCAAGAUAACGCAAAGUUCGAGAAAAUUUUAUGCGAUUUCUAUUUGAUUUGUUUCUAUAAUCCGAUUAGCAAUAUUUUUCAUUAUUUUUAUUAUAUUUUAUAGUAUCAGCACAUGUACUAUAAUAGCACAGAGAAAAAGACGUAAAGAAGUGAAGUGAAUCUCUGAACAAAAAAAAACAAUUGUUUUUGAUUGCAUUGCGUAUAGGACCGUUUCAAAUGUUACGCGAGUUUCGCAUAACAACAACUAAAAUGUGACAUCAUCAUCGCGGGAAAACGAAAGAAACGCCAGGAACUCAAAUUCGCCAAGAAAAUGAAAAUUCAGCCUCCACCCAGAAGAAGUAGGAUCUUGAAGGUAAGCCCGGUAUGCCAUCGUCGGGUACUCGGAAGAUCUGUGCCAGAUCUGCUGCUAAAGGGCGAUCCUGGAACUAGUUCUAAACAGAUCAACGGAUCUGGGUGUUUAUGGCGUCUUUCGGAAUAUCCGCGACAACUCGGAACCGAUGUCGGAACUGCGUUAUGGAUGGAAGUGGAAUUUUCCCUCGAAUUGUGUGCAAGCCGGGCAUGAUAGCUCACUCGGAACUGACCGACCGACUUCGGCAAGGAAGAGUCAUCAGGCAACAGUUUCGAUGACGAUGAGGAUGAAUUAGAACUACCUAUUUUGAACAACCAGCACCGGCGAAAGCUGCAGGCUCGACUGUAGGGAAAAAAUGUCAGCUCCAGCAGCUAAACCUACAGCAUCUGUGACUGCCAAGCGACCAGUUCCGGCCAACAAGCAAGUCGAGUAAAAACUCUUGCAAGGAGAAAGAGGAACAACCACAGACGAAUUUAUCUUCGUUUGUGGAACAACUGCUUUUGAAGAAACUGUGGUGGUGAUGGCGGUGACUUCUGCCAAGAAAAAUGAGGAAACCUCCAGUGUGGAUUCGCCGGAUUCCGACGCGGAGUCUAAGGAGAAACUAUUGCGGUCUCGGUCAACGGAAAAAGGAUGAAGAAGAGAAGGUAGUGAUGUUGAAU